AACGGAGGGAGCAAGCGUUGUUCGGAAUUACUGGGCGUAAAGCGCGGGCAGGUGGUCUUUUAAGUUUCGUGUGAAAUCCCACAGCUCAACUGUGGAACGGCGCGGAAAACUGGAAGACUUGAGUACGGGAGAAGAGGGCGGAAUUCCCAGUGUAGAGGUGAAAUUCGUAGAUAUUGGGAAGAACACCGGUGGCGAAGGCGGCUCUCUGGACCGAUAAUGACAUUCACACGCGAGAGCGUGGGUAGCAAACAGG
rnacentral:rRNA from 1 species